UACGAAGGGGGCUAGCGUUGCUCGGAAUCACUGGGCGUAAAGGGUGCGUAGGCGGGUCUUUAAGUGUCUUGUGAAAUCCCACGGCUCACCCGUGGAACUGCUGGGCAUACUGGCGAUCUUGGGCCAACUAGGGGCAGUCGGAACAAGCGGUGGAGCGGUGAAAUGCGUAGAUAUCGCUUGGAACGCCGAAGGUGAAAACAGACUGCUGGGGUUGCGCCGACGCUGAGACACGAAAGCCAGGGGAGCAAACGGG
rnacentral:rRNA from 1 species